GACGAACGCUGGCGGCGUGCUUAACACAUGCAAGUCGAACGGAAAGGCCCUGCUUUUGUGGGGUGCUCGAGUGGCGAACGGGUGAGUAACACGUGAGUAACCUGCCCUUGACUUUGGGAUAACUUCAUGAAACUGGGGCUAAUACCGGAUAGGAGCUCCUGCUGCAUGGUGGGGGUGGGAAAGUUUCGGCGGUUGGGGAUGGACUCGCGGCUUAUCAGCUUGUUGGUGGGGUAGUGGCUUACCAAGGCUUUGACGGGUAGCCGGCCUGAGAGGGUGACCGGCCACAUUGGGACUGAGAUGCGGCCCAGACUCCUACGGGACGCAGCAGUGGGGAAUAUUGCACAAUGGGCGGAAGCCUGAUGCAGCAACGCCGCGUGCGGGAUGACGGCCUUCGGGUUGUAAACCGCUUUCGCCUGUGACGAAGCGUGAGUGACGGUAAUGGGUAAAGAAGCACCGGCUAACUACGUG
rnacentral:rRNA from 1 species